AGAGUUUGAUCCUGGCUCAGAUUGAACGCUGGCGGCAUGCUUUACACAUGCAAGUCGAACGGGCUUGGGGGCUUGCUCCCAAGUUAGUGGCGAACGGUGAGUAAUACAUCGGAACGUACCGUGUAGUGGGGGAUAACGUAGCGAAAGUUACGCUAAUACCGCAUACGAUCUACGGAUGAAAGCAGGGGACCUCCGGGCCUUGUGCUAUACGAGCGGCCGAUGUCUGAUUAGCUAGUUGGUGAGGUAAAGGCUCACCAAGGCGACGAUCAGUAGCGGGUCUGAGAGGAUGAUCCGCCACACUGGGACUGAGACACGGCCCAGACUCCUACGGGAGGCAGCAGUGGGGAAUUUUGGACAAUGGGCGAAAGCCUGAUCCAGCCAUGCCGCGUGUCUGAAGAAGGCCUUCGGGUUGUAAAGGACUUUUGUCAGGGACGAUAAUGACGGUACCCGGAGAAGAAGCCCCGGCUAACUUCGUG
rnacentral:rRNA from 1 species